rnacentral:rRNA from 1 species
GACGAACGCUGGCGGCGUGCUUAACACAUGCAAGUCGAACGGAAAGGCCCUGCUUUUGUGGGGUGCUCGAGUGGCGAACGGGUGAGUAACACGUGAGUAACCUGCCCUUGACUUUGGGAUAACUUCAGGAAACUGGGGCUAAUACCGGAUAGGAGCUCCUGCUGCAUGGUGGGGGUUGGAAAGUUUCGGCGGUUGGGGAUGGACUCGCGGCUUAUCAGCUUGUUGGUGGGGUAGUGGCUUACCAAGGCUUUGACGGGUAGCCGGCCUGAGAGGGUGACCGGGCAACAUGGGGACGGAGAUAGGGCCCGGACUCCAGGGGGAGGAAGAGGGGGGAAAUAUGGAACAGGGGGGGAAGGCCUGAUGCAGAACGGCGGGGGGGGGGAGGCGGGCUUUGGGGUGGAAACCCGUUUUCGCCGGGAAGAAGGGGGGGGGGAGGGAAGGGGGAAAAAAGGCACGGGUAAAUUAGGG